UUCAUGCUGCAGGUGUGUUCAUUCUACAGGUGUGUUCAUGAUGCAGGUGUGUUCAUUCUACAGGUGUGUUCAUGCUGCAGGUGUGUUCAUGCUGCAGAUGUGUUCAUGCUGCAGGUGUGUUCAUGCUGCAGGUGUGUUCAUGAUGCAGGUGUGUUCAUGUAGCAGGUAGGACUCACCUGCGUUGGCAAUCAGCAGCAGAGGACGCUUUCCUGCAUCUGUGUCUUCUUUCAGGAGUUUUUCCAGCAAGGCCACAUCCUACAGGGACAAACCAGCGUCUGAGGAUUUCCACCAGACUUCUAAACUUGUCAUAGUAGCGUUUUCCUACCAUUUGGUGCUGGGAUCCAAAGACGGUGUUACAGGGAACAGUGCACAGACUGGAGAGCGGCAGGCCGAGCUGAAAACACACCCAUGAAGUUAACUUUCUGAGUGGUCUGAGAGCAAAAACAUGAAGUCUAGACGGAGGCGGGGAGAGCUAAUGGCAUCAUUUCAUGGGAAAAGCAUAUACAUUUUUAACUUUAGAAAGUUUUCUUUUUCCAAACUAAACUGUAGUUUUAGCGUUACGUUGUUCGUCUUUUGGGACAGCCAAUCAGCUUUCACUGGUGUGACUGGUUUUAUGCCUGAUGGUUAAUACUGCUUUUAUUCUGAAAGUCUUGAAAUGAGGUUUAGAGGAAGUAGCCUGUCAGCCGGACGUUUCCUAGCUUAGUAUUAGUGGGCGGUUUGGAGACGGCUACAGGAGGACAGAGGUAGAGUGUCCGUCAGCCUGGUGGGAGCUGGACUGAACUAUUAGGACAGCUGGCUUCAUACUCUGAGCUCCUUUGGAGGACUCAUGGAUGCUUCCUGUGGGGCUGUGGGGUCUGUGUGUCCACACCUGACUGCACAAGUGUUGUCCCAGUUCCGGCCGGCCAGCGGCGCUCUGAUAGAUGACAGGCUGGUGGGCGCUCAGGGCGCCGUAUCCUUCAGCGCCAUAUUCUUUGUACUGGGCAUGAAGGACCAGGCGGCACACCUUCACUAUUCCGUCCCUGUCGUCCUCGUGGAAGUAGGCGGAGCCGUUCUCAUACCUGUGUGGAGACAGAGGCCUGAGACGAAUCGUUCUGGAAGCCGUCUGGAACCCCGAGGCGGCCGGCGGUACCUGAAGAGCCUGCACAGCCACAGCGUGCUGUCCGACAGGACGCGAGUGCUCAGCUUGCGGAGUCGCUCCCGCUGCAGCACCGAGAAGUAUGCCGCCAGGCUGUGGCCCAGCAGCGUCACCUGGUCCUGGACCCCCACCCCCAGCCGCCUCCUGGAGGCAGACAUGGCCGUUUAGCGGCGGAGAACCGCAGGUAUCAAGCAGACCACAUGAAACCCGAGCUAAGCGGGCCAAAGACACAAAAGGUGAAGAAAAGCAGAGCGCUCCAGAUUUCAAUGACAGGAUGGCCUGGAUGGAAAAAGGAGGAGGAGUCAUGCUGGCGCCUUGCUGGCGCCCUGCUGGCAGCUGUGCUUAGAAACAAACAUUUGCAGCAAAAGACAGAAGAACACGACAAACUGGGUCCCAGCAGCUGCAGACUUCCUGUUUUCAUGCCGUUUGGGAAUUCAACACACUUUUAAAAACAUCUGGAGUUAUGAUUGACAUGUUGGUUUAGGAUGACGUUCAUGCAGCUGUCAGUCAUACGUACGCUGGCCUGGGCUCCUCCUCCUCCUCCUCCUCGUGGAGGAGGUGUUGGACCACCUGAAGGAGGCUGCUGACAUCCAGCCCACUGCACACAAACACACAAACAGACUGACUGCCAUGUCUGAGCAGAUUUCCCUCCUGUUCUGUUCCAAACUACCACAGUCAUGAACUCCUUCAUUCAUCAGAGGUUUUUGUUUCAACCCUCUUUAUUUUAACCUUAGUGUUCCUUUCUCAGAGUUUAUUACUACAAAGUUUCUGCUGUUAGUAUUAUUUUAGUAUCUUAGUAGUAUUUUUAGUAUUAGUAUCUGAGCAGCAGCAAUGGGGGGGGCUCCAGAGACGAGGAGCAACGGCGUGAAAGGAAGACCUUAAGCAUUGGGCCGAAGAGGAUGGGGUUAAAGGUCAGAUAUGCUUGACCAUGCCAGGCUCUGAAAACUAAAAUAGAAUUUUAGAAUUAAUUCCAAAUUUGACUGGAAACCGAUGUAAAGCAGACGGCAGAGCAGCGAUGUGUUUUCCUGCUAAAGCCUCGCUGCAGAGCUUUGCACAAGCUGAGGACGGUUCAGGGGGCGGCUUGUUUUAAAGUGCCACGCAUUGUCCUCCUGGGGGACUCUAAUGCCCACGGGGCGACGACAGCGGCGCCUGGAGGGGCGUGACCACCAGGAAUGGCCUCCCUGAUCUGAACCCAUGUGGUGUUUUCUGAACAAACGUUCAAACCACGGUUUGGUUUGUGUCUCCCUGUCAAAGUCCUGUUCAGAGGCGUAAAAACAGACGUGAAGUGUCCUGAACAAAAACCAGCAGAUGUGCACAGACAACAGAAGCACCUUUUCUGGAUCAGAGCCCCCAUUUCAGAAGGAAAACUAAAAGAUCAUCACAGCAGACGUUACUAAAGCAGUCCUUGGUUCAUCUUUGGCCGUCUGACAUUAUUUGGGGGAUGCUGCAGUAACAGCACAGUGUUCUGCGUCUGAACUUGUCAAUCCAUCUCCUCCAUGCCGUGUCUCCUGUCCAGAAUGUUUCCAGACUUACAUGAUCAGAUCUGUCUUAUAUUCAAACAUCCUGGACUGCUUUUUCUAUGAAGGUUGGAACUUUGAGAAUUGAAACCAGAGAAAAAUGUGAAAAUGUUGGUGUCUGACUGAGAAAAGAGGAUAAAGUGUGUAGUGAAGAGUUUUCCUGCCUGAGAACAUGACGACUUUUCACCUACACAGCUCUGUUCUAGAAUGUAACUGUACGUCAGGACAGAAACCAUGACAGGAAUCUGACCAGGAAGCACGUAUUCCUGGAUUCUGAGACUUUUAGCCGUAAUGAUGUUCAUGCCAGCGGGUCAGUACAGAUUAAUAAUCCCGUUUUUUUCUGGUCCAUUUUGAAGCUGUUUUUCUCCGGCCGGCAUGAAGUGUGCGUCUGAGCGUCUUACUCUCCCUGCAGAGGUCCUGGGAUGGCGUUUCUCCAGAGAGGACACCGGUCCGCUGCUCCCCCCCGGCUCUCUGCUCACACAAACAAACAAAUGGGUCAGUUGGUGAGGCCAGGUCUCAGGCCCGGGGGGGUAAUGAGUGCAAUUAACAACAGCCAGAGAGGGUCCUUGAGAAUGAGAGCAAAGCAGAAACGAUCUGCAGCGACGCCAGCCCUCCUAACAGAGCAGAUCCAUGCAAAGACUGGGGAGUUCCUGGAUCCCACCCCCCCUAACAACCUGCAACCACUGCCUUCACAACUGGAACAUGAACACAAAUACUACGGCAUGGGACCCCCCCCAAAGCCAGGACAGAAAAGAUGCUAUGCCAGUCAAACAAAUGUCCUGAAAAGAUGCUGGAAGGAAUUCAUCUGAAGUAAGUCUCAGUGUCUGCAUCACUUUUCCUCUCACCUCUGUCCGUCUCUCAGGGUCUUCAUGGCGUCACUCAGACUUUUUUCCACCUCUGCCAGAGCGCCGUCAGACAUCAUGGAGAAGGCGUUU
ensembl:lncRNA